rnacentral:pre_miRNA from 1 species
AGCUUUUUGAAUCCGUACAGAGAUUUCGUCAGACACUAACCCACUAGGUCUGAUCAGACUUCCAAAAUAAGUGGAGUU